UUUAAAUUGAGAGUUUGAUCCUGGCUCAGGACGAACGCUGGCGGCGUGCCUAACACAUGCAAGUCGAGCGGAGAAUGCGGAUAUGUUUACAUAGAAGCGUUCUUAGCGGCGGACGGGUGAGUAACACGUGGGUAACCUGCCUCAAAGUGGGGGAUAGCCUUCCGAAAGGAAGAUUA
rnacentral:rRNA from 1 species